rnacentral:rRNA from 1 species
AGAGUUUGAUCCUGGCUCAGGAUGAACGCUAGCGACAGGCUUAACACAUGCAAGUCGAGGGGCAGCGGGGGCGAAGCUUGCUUCGCCUGCCGGCGACCGGCGCACGGGUGAGUAACACGUAUGCGACCUGCCCCCCGCGGGGGGAUAACCGGGAGAAAUCCCGACUAAUACCGCGUAACGCCGCUGGGCUGCAUGGCCCGGCGGCCAAAGGAAGCGAUUCCGGCGGGGGAUGGGCAUGCGGCGCAUUAGCUAGUCGGCGGGGUAACGGCCCACCGAGGCGACGAUGCGUAGGGGUUCUGAGAGGAAGGUCCCCCACACUGGUACUGAGACACGGACCAGACUCCUACGGGAGGCAGCAGUGAGGAAUAUUGGUCAAUGGGCGGGAGCCUGAACCAGCCAAGUCGCGUGAGGGAAGACGGUCCUACGGAUUGUAAACCUCUUUUGCCGGGGAGCAACGGGGUCCUUGCGAGGGCCCGAUGAGAGUACCCGGAGAAAAAGCAUCGGCUAACUCCGUGCCAGCAGCCGCGGUAAUACGGAGGAUGCGAGCGUUAUCCGGAUUUAUUGGGUUUAAAGGGUGCGUAGGCGGGCUGUUAAGUCAGCGGUCAAAUGUCGGGGCUCAACCCCGGCCUGCCGUUGAAACUGGCGGCCUCGAGUGGGCGAGAAGUAUGCGGAAUGCGUGGUGUAGCGGUGAAAUGCAUAGAUAUCACGCAGAACUCCGAUUGCGAAGGCAGCAUACCGGCGCCCGACUGACGCUGAGGCACGAAAGCGUGGGUAUCGAACAGGAUUAGAUACCCUGGUAGUCCACGCAGUAAACGAUGAAUGCUAGCUGUCCGGUUCUACGGGACUGGGUGGCACAGCGAAAGCGUUAAGCAUUCCACCUGGGGAGUACGCCGGCAACGGUGAAACUCAAAGGAAUUGACGGGGGCCCGCACAAGCGGAGGAACAUGUGGUUUAAUUCGAUGAUACGCGAGGAACCUUACCCGGGCUCAAACGCCAAAGGACAGCCGUUGAAAGGCGGCCUCCCUCCGGGGUCUUUGGCGAGGUGCUGCAUGGUUGUCGUCAGCUCGUGCCGUGAGGUGUCGGCUUAAGUGCCAUAACGAGCGCAACCCCCAUCGACAGUUGCUAACGGGUAGAGCCGAGGACUCUGUCGAGACUGCCGGCGCAAGCUGCGAGGAAGGCGGGGAUGACGUCAAAUCAGCACGGCCCUUACGUCCGGGGCGACACACGUGUUACAAUGGCCGGUACAGCGGGAUGCCAGGGCGCGAGCCCGAGCGGAACCCGAAAACCGGUCUCAGUUCGGAUUGGAGUCUGCAACCCGACUCCAUGAAGCUGGAUUCGCUAGUAAUCGCGCAUCAGCCACGGCGCGGUGAAUACGUUCCCGGGCCUUGCACUCACCGCCCGUCAAG